rnacentral:rRNA from 1 species
CAAUAGCGUAUAUUAAAGUUGUUGCGGUUAAAAGCUCGUAGUUGGAUUUCUGUUGGGAAAGGCCGGUCCGCACUUUGUGCGUGAUCAGGUUCUGUCUCGGCAUCCUCGUGGGGAACAGGCUGCGCUUGAUUGCGUGGUUUGGUAUUCACGACUUUUACUUUGAGGAAAUUAGAGUGUUCACGGCAGGCAAUCGCUGUGAAUAUAUUAGCAUGGAAUAAUAAGAUAGGACGUUGGUACUAUUUUGUUGGUUUGUAUACCAAUGUAAUGAUUAAGAGGGACAGUUGGGGGUAUUCGUAUUUACAUGUCAGAGGUGAAAUUCUUGGAUUUUGGAAAGACGAACUACUGCGAAAGCAUUUACCAAGGAUGUUUUCAUUAAUCAAGAACGACAGUUAGGGGAUCGAAGAUGAUCAGAUACCAU